rnacentral:rRNA from 1 species
AUUGAACGCUGGCGGCAGGCUUAACACAUGCAAGUCGAGCGGGGUGAUGGUGCUCGCACUAUCACUUAGCGGCGGACGGGUGAGUAAUGCUUAGGAAUCUGCCUAUUAGUGGGGGACAACAUCUCGAAAGGGAUGCUAAUACCGCAUACGUCCUACGGGAGAAAGCAGGGGAUCACUUGUGACCUUGCGCUAAUAGAUGAGCCUAAGUCGGAUUAGCUAGUUGGUGGGGUAAAGGCCUACCAAGGCGACGAUCUGUAGCGGGUCUGAGAGGAUGAUCAGCCACACUGGGACUGAGACACGGCCCAGACUCGUACGGGAGGCAGCAGUGGGGAAUAUUGGACAAUGGGGGGAACCCUGAUCCAGCCAUGCCGCGUGUGUGAAGAAGGCCUUAUGGUUGUAAAGCACUUUAAGCGAGGAGGAGGCUCUUUUGGUUAAUACCCAAGAUGAGUGGACGUUACUCGCAGAAUAAGCACCGGCUAACUCUGUGCCAGCAGCCGCCGUAA